UCGACUUGAUCAUGGUGGCUCCAUUCGAUGGAUGGUGGUGGGCUCCAAUGAAACUAGGGCUCGAUUUCCCCAAUGGGUGCUGCACCGCCUGCUGCGAGUAUCAAAAUUCUGUUCCCCAGGAUGCGCCCGAGUUAGAUUCUGCCGAGAGCUUAACGGCCUGGAGUGGUGAGGCACUGAGAUGAGGACAAAUUUGUGGAAGAAGGGCCUUGUCCUGAAGAAAAUUUCCGUCCUCCCUCAAGGUUACAGGGCACAGAUUGUGAGGUGCGGCAGUAAUUGUACCAUAACCUGUCCAUGAAACUCAAGGGAUUGCCAGUUAAACAUAGGAGGAAAAGUUGGAGGAGUAGGCAUUGGCGACGGAGGUAUUAGAAGUACAAACCGUGGAACUGGAGUUUUCCAAUAUAUCCUCAAACCAAGGGGAAAUAAUCAAAAUCACUUCAUCUCGUAUUCCAAGUGUCAAAUGGUAUCAUCAAAAUUAAUACUGCCCCGUUUGGGUAUCGUAUUAUGUAGGAGUUUUUUUUUUUGCUGUUCUUUACUUUGCUUGGGUGAAAGUUGUUAUCAUGUUGUAUUUUUAGCUUUUGAUGAUGAUCAAUGGUUGUGCAUUGCUCUACUUUUGUUUAAUAAUGAUUAGUUUGGUGCA